UCCGUAGGUGAACCUGCGGAAGGAUCAUUAUAGAAAUAAAACUGAACAGGCUGUUUGCUGGUCCUUCUCGAGGGACAUGUGCACGCCUGUCGUCUUUAUUUUUCCAACUGUGCACAUAUUGUAGACCUGGAGUUUUUCUUAUCGUUCGAAUAGAUUGAGGACUGCCGUUGAGGCUUUGCCUUGUAUUUUCCAGGUCUAUGUUGUAAUACAUUUUCACAACGUGUUUCAGAAUGUCGAGUACUGGGGAUAACAAAUAUACAACUUUCAACAACGGAUCUCUUGGCUCUCGCAUCGAUGAAGAACGCAGCGAAAUGCGAUACGUAAUGUGAAUUGCAGAAUUCAGUGAAUCAUCGAAUCUUUGAACGCACAUUGCACUCUCUGGUAUUCCGGAGAGUAUGCUUGUUUGAGUAUCUGUAAACAUCUCAACCCUCAAGGCGCUUGCGUCGGGAGGAUUGGACUUGAGCGAUCCCGACUCUUUCUCACGAAAGAGGAGGGUCGCUUGAAAUGCAGGUGCAGCAGGACAUUCUUCUGAGCUAAAAGCAUAUCUAUUUAGUCCCGUCAAACGGAUUAUUACUUUUGCUUCAGCUAACAUAAAGGUCGAAUGCGCCACAAUCGCUGAUUGCAGGAAAACUCGUUCGUAAGAACUUGUAAACUCGAUCUCAAAUCAAGUAAGACUACCCGCUGAACUUAAGCAUAUCAAUAAGCGGAGGA
rnacentral:rRNA from 1 species